rnacentral:rRNA from 1 species
GCCCUGGCAGUCAGAGGCGAUGAAGGACGUGCUAAUCUGCGAUAAGCGUCGGUGAGGUGAUAUGAACCGUUAUAACCGGCGAUUUCCGAAUGGGGAAACCCAGUGUGUUUCGACACACUAUCAUUAACUGAAUCCAUAGGUUAAUGAGGCGAACCGGGGGAACUGAAACAUCUAAGUACCCCGAGGAAAAGAAAUCAACCGAGAUUCCCCCAGUAGCGGCGAGCGAACGGGGAGGAGCCCAGAGCCUGAAUCAGUGUGUGUGUUAGUGGAAGCGUCUGGAAAGGCGUGCGAUACAGGGUGACAGCCCCGUACACAAAAAUGCACAUAUUGUGAGCUCGAUGAGUAGGGCGGGACACGUGGUAUCCUGUCUGAAUAUGGGGGGACCAUCCUCCAAGGCUAAAUACUCCUGACUGACCGAUAGUGAACCAGUACCGUGAGGGAAAGGCGAAAAGAACCCCGGCGAGGGGAGUGAAAAAGAACCUGAAACCGUGUACGUACAAGCAGUGGGAGCCUCUUAAUGGGGUGACUGCGUACCUUUUGUAUAAUGGGUCAGCGACUUAUAUUCUGUAGCAAGGUUAACCGAAUAGGGGAGCCGAAGGGAAACCGAGUCUUAACUGGGCGUUAAGUUGCAGGGUAUAGACCCGAAACCCGGUGAUCUAGCCAUGGGCAGGUUGAAGGUUGGGUAACACUAACUGGAGGACCGAACCGACUAAUGUUGAAAAAUUAGCGGAUGACUUGUGGCUGGGGGUGAAAGGCCAAUCAAACCGGGAGAUAGCUGGUUCUCCCCGAAAGCUAUUUAGGUAGCGCCUCGUGAAUUCAUCUCCGGGGGUAGAGCACUGUUUCGGCAAGGGGGUCAUCCCGACUUACCAACCCGAUGCAAACUGCGAAUACCGGAGAAUGUUAUCACGGGAGACACACGGCGGGUGCUAACGUCCGUCGUGAAGAGGGAAACAACCCAGACCGCCAGCUAAGGUCCCAAAGUCAUGGUUAAGUGGGAAACGAUGUGGGAAGGCCCAGACAGCCAGGAUGUUGGCUUAGAAGCAGCCAUCAUUUAAAGAAAGCGUAAUAGCUCACUGGUCGAGUCGGCCUGCGCGGAAGAUGUAACGGGGCUAAACCAUGCACCGAAGCUGCGGCAGCGACACUAUGUGUUGUUGGGUAGGGGAGCGUUCUGUAAGCCUGUGAAGGUGGCCUGUGAGGGUUGCUGGAGGUAUCAGAAGUGCGAAUGCUGACAUAAGUAACGAUAAAGCGGGUGAAAAGCCCGCUCGCCGGAAGACCAAGGGUUCCUGUCCAACGUUAAUCGGGGCAGGGUGAGUCGACCCCUAAGGCGAGGCCGAAAGGCGUAGUCGAUGGGAAACAGGUUAAUAUUCCUGUACUUGGUGUUACUGCGAAGGGGGGACGGAGAAGGCUAUGUUGGCCGGGCGACGGUUGUCCCGGUUUAAGCGUGUAGGCUGGUUUUCCAGGCAAAUCCGGAAAACCAAGGCUGAGGCGUGAUGACGAGGCACUACGGUGCUGAAGCGACAAAUGCCCUGCUUCCAGGAAAAGCCUCUAAGCAUCAGGUAACAUCAAAUCGUACCCCAAACCGACACAGGUGGUCAGGUAGAGAAUACCAAGGCGCUUGAGAGAACUCGGGUGAAGGAACUAGGCAAAAUGGUGCCGUAACUUCGGGAGAAGGCACGCUGAUAUGUAGGUGAAGCGACUUGCUCGUGGAGCUGAAAUCAGUCGAAGAUACCAGCUGGCUGCAACUGUUUAUUAAAAACACAGCACUGUGCAAACACGAAAGUGGACGUAUACGGUGUGACGCCUGCCCGGUGCCGGAAG